AAUUCAAUGAUUUCAACUUCACUGCUGACCAGCCACGCCUCACCGCCUCGGAGGGAUUGCCUUUCCCCAUUUCCUGACAAAUCGAGCAUAUUCUAAUUCAACAC
rfam:Drosophila teissieri stubarista (sta) gene, complete cds.